rnacentral:rRNA from 1 species
GAUGAACGCUAGCUGGAGGCUUAAUACAUGCAAGUCGAGCGGGAUUGGGUAGCAAUACCCAUGAGAGCGGCGCACGGGUGAGUAACGCGUACACGACCUACCUCUGACAGGGGGAUAGCCCUGGGAAACUGGGAUUAAUACCGCAUAUUAUUCUGAAUAAUAAAGGUUUGGAAUGAAAGCUGAGGCGGUCAGAGAUGGGUGUGCGUCUGAUUAGCUAGUUGGUAGGGUAACGGCCUACCAAGGCGAUGAUCAGUAGGGGGCGUGAGAGCGUGGUCCCCCACACGGGUACUGAGACACGGACCCGACUCCUACGGGAGGCAGCAGUAAGGAAUAUUGGUCAAUGGGCGAAAGCCUGAACCAGCCAUCCAGCGUGCUUGAUGAAGGCCCUCUGGGUUGUAAAGAGCUUUAGUCUGGGAAGAAACCGUUUUCUGCGGAAGACGCUGACGGUACCAGAAGAAUAAGCACCGGCUAACUCCGUGCCAGCAGCCGCGGUAAAGUCG